rnacentral:rRNA from 1 species
AGAGUUUGAUCAUGGCUCAGGAUCAACGCUGGCGGCGUGCCUAAUGCAUGCAAGUCGAACGCAGCACCUUCGGGUGCUGAGUGGCGAACGGCUGAGGAACACGUACGAACCUACCCGCUCGUGGGGAAUAACGCCCCGAAAGGGGUGCUAAUACCGCGUACGCUCAUCUGUUGAGGAUGAGGAAAGCAGCAAUGCGCGGGCGGCAGGGCGUGCGGCCCAUCAGGUGGUUGGCGGGGUAACGGCCCACCAAGCCGGUGACGGGUAGCUGGUCUGUGAGGACGAUCAGCCAGACUGGGACUGCGAGACGGCCCAGACACCUACGGGUGGCAGCAGCAAGGAAUCUUCGGCACUGGGCGCAAGCCUGACCGAGCAACGCCGCGUGGAGGAUGACGGCUUUCGGGUUGUAAACUCCUUUCGACGGGGAUGAAACGGACAGUACCCGUAGAAGCAGCCCCGGCUAACUCUGUGCCAGCAGCCGCGGUAAGACAGAGGGGGCAAGCGUUGUCCGGAUUGACUGGGCGUAAAGGGCGCGCAGGCGGCCCGUGACGUGCCGUGUGACAGGUGGGAGCUCAACUCCCAGAGGCCACGGUAGACGCGCGGGCUGGAGGCAGGGAGAGGGCAGUGGAAUACCCGGUGGAGCGGUGAAAUGCGUAGAGAUCGGGUGGAACACCAGGGGCGAAGGCGGCUGCCUGGCCCUGACCUGACGCUGAGGCGCGAGAGCGUGGGGAGCAAACUGGAUUAGAUACCCCCGUAGUCC